UCUGCCUACCAUGCGGUGCAGGAGAGAGCAGCCAAGCCGCGUGUUUUUCUCAAGGACAGCGGCACAGCCAAGGAACAGAAACAUUUGUCUGCCAAGGACAGGCUUGACACUGCCGGCUAUGCCUCUAUUGCUACCCAGACCAAAGAUGUCGGUGCCCGGAACCCUGCACAGACGCGCCCUGCACCACCGGCAUGCCCUGCGACACCGGCAUCGAUUAUUGCGAGCCUAGAGGCAGCAGCGACUCAACUUGGACGUGAACCCGUUUGUGCGCUACCCGCUCAUAGUCAUGAACUGUGUUCUCUGGGUGCUCGGCCUCUUCCUCUUUGUCGGCGGCUUGUAUGCCUACAUUGGCACAGCGACGCGGGCCAGCGUUGCCGAGCCCUCUGGGACUGUUCUCAACAUUUACAGUCAACUGGUGGUGCACGUGGAGCUGACGGUGAUGCUGGGGGGCACACUGCUAGUGCUGCUGUCCUUCUGCGGCUGCGUUGGAGCACUGCGCGAGAACACCUGUCUGCUGAACGCCUAUUCGUCGCUCAUCACUGCACUGCUACUGCUCAACUUCAUCGUGGGCCUGCUGGUGUUCUCGCUGCCCUCGCAGCUGAAGCGCAUGGUGCGCUAACACAUUGAGCACGCGUCUUGUCGUGCACUACCGGGACAGCCCCGACUUGCAGCACCUCAUUGACUCCGUACAGUGUCCCUUGAUGUGUUUAUCACAUCCGGACUUGCCGGAGUAAAAUUACACCUGAUCCCACCAGAGCAUAUGGAGUAAACCACACCUGAUCCCACCAGAGCAUACUAUGCUAGGGAUCUGCAGUGCUGCGGGCUGUCACAAAGGAGUUUCCGGGACUGGAACAGCAACAUGUACUUCAACUGCUCGCGAACUAAUCCCAGCAGUGAGCGCUGCUCGGUCCCUUACUCCUGCUGCAGGCGAAACAGCACUGAAGAGGUGGUGAACCUGAGCUGUGGUCAGGGAGUGUUGAACAGGACCGACUACGAUGCUUGGUUCACAGUGUACACUGGCAACUGUGUCGACGCAGUGCAUCGACUCAUGCGCGAAAAUGCCACCAUCAUUACGGGAGCUUGCCUCGUCUUUGUGAUCCUGCUCGCCUUUGUGCAAAUGGUCACACAGGCGCUGGUCGACGAAAUAUUCAUCAUUCGGCGAAUUUACGAGAGGGUGUAUGACCGCCUUUAUGACAUGCGUGCCAGUGCAGAGAAUACGGAACGUGUUGAAUAAACGUUUGCACGAUUGUGUGGAUAAAAUUGGGAUUAUAUGUUUAUCGUAUUUAUGAAAUCUAAUUGUAAUAGUGUUUUUUUCAGCACAGUCUUGCCUAUCUCCUUGAGGUUCUCACUGUCUUUUUUAUGCUGUAGACCUUAAACAUAACUGUACGGUACUUUGAAGAGAGGGCCUUCAUUUUUCUUAUUCAUAAAAAGUGAGCAGUGAGUUUGGUAAGAAAACAUUGUGUGAUUGCUGUGGUUACGCAUUGUAUAGGUCUCUCUCUGUGCUAGAAAGGGCUGCUGGGUGAAAUUUUGCCACAACUAUACUAGAUCGUGUAAGACAUGUAAAAGUUGACAUCUUCUAGAGCAGGUUUGAAAGUGGCACUCUUGGUGAUUGUAGGUACUUGGUUGAAGCAUUCUAUUUGCUAGCAGCACAUAACAUACCGGACCUUCAGAGGCACUGGUUACGUCUGUGUACACAAUUUGUUUAUGCUAGUUGUGUCAACCUGUGGUGCAGAGAGAGCAAGAUGCAUAAUUUCUCAUUGAGUGAAUUGAACCUUCACCGCAGUUUAUGUUCUCAAUUUAAACUGCAGUGUGCUACCUAUGACUGUAAUCUAUCACUUUGGUGAAGGUAUUGCUACGUUUGACGUGUCAGCGCCAGGACUGAAAUAAAAGGUACCACUUUUCUUUUCCCAAAAUGAGUACAACCUAAAA